AUAUAACUAGGCGGAGGAAAAGAAACUAACAAGGAUUCCUUCAGUAACGGCGAGUGAAGCGGGAAGAGCUCAGAGUUAAAAUCUUCGGAAUUGUGCUCUGGAGAGGCUGUAUCAGCUCAAUCAGCGGGGCAAAUCUCUUGGAACAGAGUGCCUUGGAGGGUGACAGCCCCGUCUAUCCCUGCUGAGUCGAGUGUACGAUUGGCUUUCAACGAGUCGAGUUGUUUGGGAUUGCAGCUCAAAAUGGGAGGUAAAUUUCUUCUAAAGCUAAAUAUUGGCGAGAGACCGAUAGCGCACAAGUA
rnacentral:rRNA from 1 species